UACGUAGGGGGCUAGCGUUGUCCGGAAUCAUUGGGCGUAAAGAGCGUGUAGGCGGCCCGGUAAGUCCGCUGUGAAAGUCGGGGGCUCAACCCUCGGAUGCCGGUGGAUACUGUCGGGCUCGAGUACGGAAGAGGCGAGUGGAAUUCCUGGUGUAGCGGUGAAAUGCGCAGAUAUCAGGAGGAACACCAAUUGCGAAGGCAGCUCGCUGGGACGUGACUGACGCUGAGACGCGAAAGCGUGGGGAGCAAACAGG
rnacentral:rRNA from 1 species